GAUUUGAAGAUGCUGGCAUUGAAGGUUGGAGUGAUGUGCCCACAAGCCAAGGAAUGCCACCAGCCACCAGAGCUGGAAGAGGCAAAGAAUAGAUUCUGGCCUCUAAGGGAGCACAGCACGGCCCACACCUUGAUUUUGGCCCAGGGAGGCUGAGAGACCGAUUACAGACUUCUGGCCUCCAGAACUGUACUGUCCAGGUGCCAGGGCCACAGUGAGAGAAACAUGGACGUGACUUCUGCCAUCCUUGGACUUCUACAAAAGCCUGCUGCCUCAGGAGUGAGGGAGCAGCCAGGCCUGCAUAUUUCUGGCCAAGCAUGGAUCACAGCAUCAGCUGAGCUGUGGGUCAGCUGUGAUGAGCUUGAAGGGUUACAAAGAAACAAGAGCCUGACACUCUUCUGGCUAGUGAUCACUGCUUUAUCGGCGUGAAGGGAGAAGCACAGAUUGGGAUGCCCCGAGCUUCAGUGAUAGCGUUAUAACCCCCAGAAUACGGGAGACACGAGUCCCACCUGCUGCAGUUCUGGCCAGACCUCACAGUUCCGUCCUUCGGGUCUCAGCUUUAAUGUCACCUCCUCAGGAAGUCUCCCUUGAUUACUCACUCAAGGUAAGUCUCUUUCUCUCCCGUCUUGCCAUUCUCUGUUUCAGAGGCCUAUUUGAUUCCUUCGUAGCAUUUCCACUGUCGGUAAACAUUUAGUGUGUUUACUUGUUUAACGUAUGAAUCCUGGU